rnacentral:rRNA from 1 species
UACGUAGGGGGCUAGCGUUGUCCGGAAUCAUUGGGCGUAAAGAGCGUGUAGGCGGCUCGGUAAGUCCGCUGUGAAAGUCCAGGGCUCAACCCUGGAAUGCCAGUGGAAACUGUCGAGCUAGAGUCCGGAAGAGGCGAGCGGAAUUCCUGGUGUAGCGGUGAAAUGCGCAGAUAUCAGGAGGAACACCAAUGGCGAAGGCAGCUCGCUGGGACGGUACUGACGCUGAGACGCGAGAGCGUGGGGAGCAAACAGG